rnacentral:rRNA from 1 species
UUUUUUAAUUGAAAGCUUGUAUGAAAGGUUGAAUGAGAUAUUAGCUGUUUUAAAAAAAAUUAAAUUGAAUUUUAUUUUUUAGUCAAAAAGCUAAAAUAUUUUUAUAAGACGAGAAGACCCUAUAAAGUUUUAUAUUUAUUUUAUAAUAAUUUAUUUAAAUAUUUUUAUAUUUUUGUAAAAUAAAUAUUUUGUUGGGGAGAUAAUAAAAUUUAAAAAACUUUUAUUUUUGAAAAUCAUUGAUUAAUGAGUUUAUGAUCCUUUUUUAAAGAUUAAAAAAUUAAAUUACUUUAGGGAUAACAGCGUAAUUUUUUUUUUAAGUUCAAAUUUAUAAAAAAGUUUGC